GACGAACGCUGGCGGCGUGCUUAACACAUGCAAGUCGAACGGUGAAGCCCUUCGGGGUUGAUCAGUGGCGAACGGGUGAGUAACACGUGAGCAACCUGCCCCUGGCUCUGGGACAACCACUGGAAACGGUGGCUAAUACCGGAUACGACCCGCCUCGGCAUCGAUUGUGGGUGGGAAGUUUUUCGGCUGGGGAUGGGCUCGCGGCCUAUCAGCUUGUUGGUGAGGUGAAGGCUCACGAAGGCGACGACGGGUAGCCGGCCUGAGAGGGCGACCGGCCACACUGGGACUGAUACACGGCCUAUAGUCCUACGGGAUGCAGCAGUGCGGAAUAUUGCGCAAUGGGCGGAAGCCUGAUGCAGCGACGCCGCGUUGGGGAUGACGGCCUUCGGGUUGUGAACCUCUUUCAGCUCCGAAGAAGCGAAAGUGCCGGUAGGAGCAGAAGAAGCACCGGCUAACUACGUG
rnacentral:rRNA from 1 species